AUUGAACGCUGGCGGCAGGCCUAACACAUGCAAGUCGAACGGUAACAGGAAACAGCUUGCUGUUUCGCUGACGAGUGGCGGACGGGUGAGUAAUGUCUGGGAAACUGCCUGAUGGAGGGGGAUAACUACUGGAAACGGUAGCUAAUACCGCAUAACGUCGCAAGACCAAAGAGGGGGACCCUCGGGCCUCUUGCCAUCGGAUGUGCCCAGAUGGGAUUAGCUUGUUGGUGGGGUAACGGCUCACCAAGGCGACGAUCCCUAGCUGGUCUGAGAGGAUGACCAGCCACACUGGAACUGAGACACGGUCCAGACUCCUACGGGAGGCAGCAGUGGGGAAUAUUGCACAAUGGGCGCAAGCCUGAUGCAGCCAUGCCGCGUGUAUGAAGAAGGCCUUCGGGUUGUAAAGUACUUUCAGCGGGGAGGAAGGGAGUAAAGUUAAUACCUUUGCUCAUUGACGUUACCCGCAGAAGAAGCACCGGCUAACUCCGUGCCAGCAGCCGCGGUAAUACGGAGGGUGCAAGCGUUAAUCGGAAUUACUGGGCGUAAAGCGCACGCAGGCGGUUUGUUAAGUCAGAUGUGAAAUCCCCGGGCUCAACCUGGGAACUGCAUCUGAUACUGGCAAGCUUGAGUCUCGUAGAGGGGGGUAGAAUUCCAGGUGUAGCGGUGAAAUGCGUAGAGAUCUGGAGGAAUACCGGUGGCGAAGGCGGCCCCCUGGACGAAGACUGACGCUCAGGUGCGAAAGCGUGGGGAGCAAACAGGAUUAGAUACCCUGGUAGUCCACGCCGUAAACGAUGUCGACUUGGAGGUUGUGCCCUUGAGGCGUGGCUUCCGGAGCUAACGCGUUAAGUCGACCGCCUGGGGAGUACGGCCGCAAGGUUAAAACUCAAAUGAAUUGACGGGGGCCCGCACAAGCGGUGGAGCAUGUGGUUUAAUUCGAUGCAACGCGAAGAACCUUACCUGGUCUUGACAUCCACGGAAGUUUUCAGAGAUGAGAAUGUGCCUUCGGGAACCGUGAGACAGGUGCUGCAUGGCUGUCGUCAGCUCGUGUUGUGAAAUGUUGGGUUAAGUCCCGCAACGAGCGCAACCCUUAUCCUUUGUUGCCAGCGGUCCGGCCGGGAACUCAAAGGAGACUGCCAGUGAUAAACUGGAGGAAGGUGGGGAUGACGUCAAGUCAUCAUGACCCUUACGACCAGGGCUACACACGUGCUACAAUGGCGCAUACAAAGAGAAGCGACCUCGCGAGAGCAAGCGGACCUCAUAAAGUGCGUCGUAGUCCGGAUUGGAGUCUGCAACUCGACUCCAUGAAGUCGGAAUCGCUAGUAAUCGUGGAUCAGAAUGCCACGGUGAAUACGUUCCCGGGCCU
rnacentral:rRNA from 1 species